rnacentral:lncRNA from 1 species
UACACUACGCUCUUCCGAUCAGUAAUAAUGUUGCAAAGAAUCUGUAACCGCGAGGUUUUGGUGAGAAUUAGUGCUA